UUUCUACAUGGCAAGAUGACUCCUCAGUAGCUCACUGAAACGACAAAUGAGUGCCCGAUAAUGGUCAAACUCGCCAGAAAUGGGGAGACCAUUGAAUUUGGACAGCUUCAUGGGCCGACUGGUGUUCUUCUACUGAGCUUGCUUGCAGGUGACGAGGCAAGCUGUGAAUUUGUUCAAGCCUCGUGCGGAACAGCAUUGUUGAUGAAUUUUCUAAUGGAAAAUGCGUCAAGCCAUUGGCACCGAAGAUGUGCAUUAAGGAGCCGUCAAGAGUUCACAGGACAGAAUUGAAUAGCAAGGGAGUUCCAAACGAAUUAGUGACUCACUUUCUCAGCUAAGCUCAGUUUGCAGGUCCUCCUCUUAUCUUAAUGACUUCACCUACUUGUAAGCAUCAAUUCAGGCUCCAAACUCAAAUGUCUCAUUAGUCUCUUCCACUAGUUUCUGUUAGAUACAGAGCUUGUGAUCGAAGAUGCCUGCAUAAAAAUUAAUGAUCAUCUCCUGUUAUUAUUUCUUUGCUCUCUAUAUAUCGAUUUGAUCUCUGGUUCUUAAAA